rnacentral:rRNA from 1 species
UACGUAGGGUGCGAGCGUUGUCCGGAAUUAUUGGGCGUAAAGAGCUCGUAGGCGGUGUGUCACGUCGGCCGUGAAAACCUGCAGCUUAACUGUGGGCGUGCGGUCGAUACGGGCAUCACUGGAGUUCGGCAGGGGAGACUGGAAUUCCUGGUGUAGCGGUGAAAUGCGCAGAUAUCAGGAGGAACACCGGUGGCGAAGGCGGGUCUCUGGGCCGAUACUGACGCUGAGGAGCGAAAGCGUGGGGAGCAGACAGG